AUUGAACGCUGGCGGCAGGCCUAACACAUGCAAGUCGAGCGGAUGACGGGAGCUUGCUCCUGGAUUCAGCGGCGGACGGGUGAGUAAUGCCUAGGAAUCUGCCUGGUAGUGGGGGACAACGUUUCGAAAGGAACGCUAAUACCGCAUACGUCCUACGGGAGAAAGCAGGGGACCUUCGGGCCUUGCGCUAUCAGAUGAGCCUAGGUCGGAUUAGCUAGUUGGUGAGGUAAUGGCUCACCAAGGCGACGAUCCGUAACUGGUCUGAGAGGAUGAUCAGUCACACUGGAACUGAGACACGGCCCAGACUCCAACGGGAGGCAGCAGUGGUGAAUAUUGGACAAUGGGCGAAAGCCUGAUCCAGCCAUGCCGCGUGUGUGAAGAAGGUCUUCGGAUUGUAAAGCACUUUAAGUUGGGAGGAAGGGCAGUAAGCGAAUACCUUGCUGUUUUGACGUUACCGACAGAAUAAGCACCGGCUAACUCUGUGCCAGCCGCCGCGGUAACAC
rnacentral:rRNA from 1 species